rnacentral:misc_RNA from 1 species
GUUUGCCUAGCCAGUAAAGGGGUUGAGACGGGUUUGCAAUGAGUCAUAUUGGCCCUUGUUGAGAGGUCCUUAGCAUACUUGCCUUGGCUUACCAUUGGUGCAUACAGAAACCUCAAUGUUGAGAAAAUAAUGCAAAGGUGCCAUAUCUGUCAUUGCAAAUAGUUUUCAAAGAAUUUAUUAGUUUGGUCAAUAAAGAGUACAUGAAGUGGUAAGGAUGAUAUCAGCCACAUAUAGCAACAAGAUAGCCAUUUGCCAAUUGGCUCUAUAGACAAACAUAGAGUAGUCAAAAUGACUACCAACAAAUCCAAUACAACAAGGAAAAUCAGUAAAUCUCUUAAACCAAGCUCGUGGAGCCUGUUGUAGACAGUACAAUGGCUUUUGAAGUUUACACAAAUUUUGGUUUGUAGAAUCAACAGAACCACAAGGCUGUUGCACAUAUACUUCUUCCUUCAAAUGACCAUGCAAGAACGCAUGUUUCACAUCUAGUUGAUGUAUCAGCCAACAAUUGGUUACUGCCAAUGAGAGGGCAACUCAAACGGUAGUGGGUUUCACAAUUUGAUUGAAUGUUUCCUCAAAGUCUAUCUCAGGUUGUUGUGGAAAACGCUGAGCCACUAGCUUGGCUUUGUACCUUUCAACAGUGCCAUCUGUUUGAAGUUUCAAUCUGUAUAUCCAUUUGCAGCCUACAAUGCUUGUUAGGAGAUGGUGGAGGAACAAGUACCAAUGUGUUAUUAGACUAUAAUGCUGCAAACUCUUUCAUCAUGGUUGCUUGCCGAUUCUCAUCCUUAACAGCCUGGUUGCAUGUCUUAGGUUCAGUCAAUGGUUUGUUGGUUGAUCUAGUCUGUGUUUCAGUUUCAUGAAGAAGAGUGAAUUUCUGUUUAGGUUUUGUGGUUCCAACUUGUGAAGGUGUUAUAAUUGGAUGAGUUAUGGUAUUGACUAGAGUGGUUGGUUCAACAAAUGAAGGUUGGGUUGUUGUUCAAAUUUGAUUUUCGGUGGUUAGAGAAGAAGGAUUGGAAAUGUUAUCCAAUUGAUCAUGGAUAAUAAGCUGAUGAGGAUUGUCAAUGGUUUGAACUGGUGGGUUUGAAGUGGUUGUAUGAGAUAGAGGAUGUGGGAAAAUUGAUAAGGGAGAGUAGGAUAGGAUAUUGGUAUCAUGCUGAGUUGAGAGGAUAGAAUAUGAUUGGUAUAAGACUGUUGCACUUGACUUGGAUUCACAAAGUACCUGAAUGAGAUAAGGAAGAGACUGGUACAUUAGCAACAUCCUUGGCAACCAAUUUAAAUGUAAAACAAUUUUCCACAAAUUUGUUGAAUUCUAUUUUCAUGGGCAGAAAGAAAAGAUUGUAUCCAAUGUGGAUAGUAAAAGCUGUUUGGCAAUCAUCACUGGUGAUUACAUCGGAGUAGGUAUCAUUGGGAAGGCUAGAAAGGAUUUGAAGGGUCUGUUGCGGAAACUGGAUGUCCAAUCGAGUAGAGAGAAUCAACAAUGGAUUUGACAUAUUGAAUGUAUUCAGUCUGGUACCUUCAGAAGCUUGGCUGAAAUUCAGUUUUAGUUGCAUGUAUUUGGCUGACUCAUGAUCUUGAAAAAGCUUUUCUAUUUUACUUCAUGUUUGGUGAGGAGUUGAUCCUAGAAUCAAUACAUGUUUUAACAAUUCUUCAGAUAUCAUGGCACGGAGCCGGGAGAUAAUAACACAAUCAAUUUGUUGCCAAGACGAGAAGAGUGGAUUCAAGACAAGAUUUCCAUUUUCAUUGUGAAGAUAUUGAGGAGAACAAGAGGAGCCAUAGACAUGAUCUGGAACUCAAUAACAUUGCAGAAUAUUUUGAAACGAAGAUUUUCAAAUGAGGUAAUUUGAAAAGUCUUAUGUGGCAGGAAUAUGAUUUUUUAUGUUUGUGACAGCCAAUAUUGAUGGUGGGGAUUUGGAGAUAGGGAUGAUAGGAGAAGUGAGAAGAAGACUGAACAAAGAAGAAAUUGAAGAGGAAGACAAGGAGGAGUUAGGAGGAUCAGUUGAAGGAAGAGGAGGUUCAGUUAAGUUUGCCAUUUGAAAAGAAAAUAGGCAUGAUACCAUGUGAAAGAGGGAUUGAAUUGCUAUCCUCUAGAUGGUAUUUUUCCCACACAUAUUACAAUGAUAAAUGAUACAAGGAGCCUAUAAGAAACUAUAUUUUUAUGUAAGAACAUCAGUAGCUGUUACAUUAGUUUUUGCAUCAUUUCACAUGAUCAUACCAAUUUCGCAUAGGCAUAACUCAACUAGAGUCUUUCUUGUUUGUUUGACACAUCUUUCUGACUAGAAGUUCUUUCUAAUGCGAUGCAG